GCGCCUGUAGCUCAACUGGAUAGAGUAUCAGAUUCCGAUUCUGGCGGUUGCAGGUUCGAGACCUGUCAGGCGCACCA
rnacentral:tRNA from 5 species